rnacentral:rRNA from 1 species
UACGUAGGGUGCGAGCGUUGUCCGGAAUUAUUGGGCGUAAAGAGCUCGUAGGCGGUCUGUCGCGUCGGAUGUGAAAACUCGGGGGCUCAACCCCGGGCCUGCAUUCGAUACGGGCAGACUAGAGUACGGCAGGGGAGACUGGAAUUCCUGGUGUAGCGGUGAAAUGCGCAGAUAUCAGGAGGAACACCGAUGGCGAAGGCAGGUCUCUGGGCUGUAACUACGCUGAGGAGCGAAAGCGUGGGGGAGCGAACAGG